rnacentral:lncRNA from 1 species
GAUCUUCCUUGGAUCGAAAUAUUCAUGAUCUUUCUUGGAUCAAAGUGGCCAUGAUCUUUCUCGGAUCAAAUCAUUCAUGAUCUUUCUCGGAUCAGAUUCUUCAUGAUCUUUCUCGGAUCAUAUUCUUCCACACAUAAGCCUGUGGGGGUUGUCCCAGGCAUAAACUCCUGGCAAGCUAUUCCACAUGACAAGGCCAGUCCAAACCAUAUUUCUCUUUCUUUUCAUUUUCAUGAAAUUAU